UAUAGAGCAAAUGUUUGAAAACAACCUCAUAGUUGGAUUAGAAGCAUAUCAACAGAGCGCACUUGAUACUUAUGAUAGCGUAGUGGCUAAGUUCUUGAAUACAUCUUAUGAUGAUAUUUCGAGGGGCGAAAUUUUAAAUGGAAAUCUCCCUACUUAUUUUAAAAACAAAGAA